AUUGAACGCUGGCGGCAUGCCUUACACAUGCAAGUCGAACGGCAGCAUGGAGAGCUUGCUCUCUGAUGGCGAGUGGCGAACGGGUGAGUAAUGCAUCGGAACGUACCGUGUAAUGGGGGAUAACGUAGCGAAAGUUACGCUAAUACCGCAUACGACCUGAGGGUGAAAGAAGGGCAUCGCAAGACCUUGCGUUAUACGAGCGGCCGAUGUGAGAUUAGCUAGUUGGUGAGGUAAAGGCUCACUAAGGCGACGAUCUGGAGCGGGUCUGAGAGGAUGAUCCGCCACACUGGGACUGAGACACGGCCCAGACUCCUACGGGAGGCAGCAGUGGGGAAUUUUGGACAAUGGGGGCAACCCUGAUCCAGCCAUGCCGCGUGAGUGAAGAAGGCCUUCGGGUUGUAAAGCUCUUUCGGCCGGGAAGAAAUCGCACAGGCUAAUACUCUGUGUGGAUGACGGUACCGGCAUAAGAAGCACCGGCUAACUACGUGCCAGCCGCCGCCGUAA
rnacentral:rRNA from 1 species